ACACCUUCAACACUGGGAGUCACAUUCAGCAUGAGAUUUGGAGGUGACAACCACACAUCCAAACCAUAUCAAGGACCCAUUUCAGUGAGGGGACCAGGGACAUACGCCUUCCCCUCUCCUCCACAUCCUUUAAUAUGGGACUCAGCAAGGAAAAUAGGGCUUGGGUCAAAUUAAAACCUGGGCUUAAUUUCAUGCUCCAGCUAUUAGCUGUGUAACCCUGGGCAAGUCACUUAACCCCCCCCAGAUUACAAUGUUACAAAUGAUCCCAUUUUCCUCAACUGAGACAUGGGAUAGGAACAUGUCCCGAGCAGAGCUGGACUGACGGUGCUAUCAAUGGCCCGACAGUGCCUGGUCACACAGUAGGCCUGGGGAGCCCUGACUUUUACCACACAGGGAGCUGUGUGCAGAGCUUGUUUUCAGCUGUGGGCUUGGCAUGGACCUGUCGGCAUCCCAGGGGACAGGGUCUCAUGAGGAUGCCUAAUCCCAGCUCAAAGAGGAGACCCCAGGACUCCAUCACAGCCAGUGGUGGGGAGUGGCUGCUGGAGAAGGGCUUCAUUGGAAUGAACACCUUUAAGCUCCAGGCCAAAUGCCCAGAGUGGGUUUGCAGGUAUGAUUGUGAGGCUGGCAUGGUGGGCCCAUCUGCAGUCCCCUGGGAUGGGACACCUGUACGGUAGAGGGCCCGGGUGGAGAGAAGACAAGGAUGUGGAUGAACCCAGGACCAUAGACGGCCCAGUUCCGUGGAUGAUUUUCAUCGAGGUGCCUUCAAGUCAGUUCACCAUUGGGCUUCUCAGCCUUUGAGAUACGCAGGUAAGAGCCACCUGUGGCAGUAGGGGAAGCGCUUGUUAAAGUGCAGAUUCAGCAGGUCUAGGGUUGGGCCUGAAAUUCUGUGUUCCUAACAAGGCUCCCUCCUGGGUAUGGAGGUCAGGUACUCCUCACCUCUCCUGUGUACCCCGCUUUUUGGGGGGUCAGGAGAAGAAGGUUCAGUCCCAGCUGCCACCACUCUAAAGUCUCCUAGAAACAAGGACUAAUACAGGUGGCGUGGGAGAGGACCCAGGCAAACGGGAGGUGGGGUGCCCUGGUGGGGCAGCAGUGGGCCCUGCAGAAAGCUUGCUGGAGGAGGGGCCUGAGGAAUUCAAGGACUUGUUCCAGGAACCCAAGGAAUGAGUGGGCUCUAAUUGCUGCGCAUAUGGGAGAUUCCAGGAGGAGCUGACUGUGGCGGGCCAUCCCAGGCCAUCAGACAACUUGUAGUGGAUGAAGAUGCAAUGUCCAUGGCCAGAAGAAACUCCCAUGGACCCUCAGGCCAAGGCUGCCAGAAGCACGAGGAAGGGGCAGCAUUGAGUGUCAUCAGGAAGAGGCAAGCACCUCUGAACUCAAUGGGAUCCUACACUCCUUUUAGGCCUGGCUUGAUGCUGACAUCCUUCAGUCCCAGGGAAGACCUGAAGAUCUCCAGGUCUUGAGGCCCCUGGAACACCUCCAUCUGAGACCACUUCAACAUGAUUUCUGUGCUUGAGGGAUUUUGGACCACGCUGUGUGUAUUCAGCCCUAAAACAUGGGGAUAUGGCAAAAUUGGUGAAGAAAGGACACAGGUGACCGACACCCGGUAAGAUGGGAUUAAACUGGGCCAUUUCCUUCUUGGGACCAAGAAGCAUGACUUCCAUGGUUCGAAUCCUCACAGAACCUAGCAGGUGCUGAGCCUGAAGUGUGCUGACCCAUUUCACAGUUGGGAAACCUGAGGCCCCACAAGACUUAUUCAGGGCCGGGAAGGAAGCAGAGUGAAAGAGGCUCCACCAUUUCCCGAGCUCUGCUUACCACAAAC